rnacentral:rRNA from 1 species
ACGGGUGAGUAACACGUGAGUAACCUGCCCUUGACUCUGGGAUAACCUCCGGAAACGGAAGCUAAUACCGGAUACGACGUACGGAGGCAUCUCCUGUACGUGGAAAGAACUUCGGUCAAGGAUGGACUCGCGGCCUAUCAGGUAGUUGGUGAGGUAACGGCUCACCAAGCCUACGACGGGUAGCCGGCCUGAGAGGGUGACCGGCCACACUGGGACUGAGACACGGCCCAGACUCCUACGGGAGGCAGCAGUGGGGAAUAUUGCACAAUGGGCGCAAGCCUGAUGCAGCAACGCCGCGUGAGGGAUGACGGCCUUCGGGUUGUAAACCUCUUUUAGUGGGGAAGAAGCGAAAGUGACGGUACCUGCAGAAAAAGCACCGGCUAACUACGUGCCAGCAGCCGCGGUAAUACGUAGGGUGCGAGCGUUGUCCGGAAUUAUUGGGCGUAAAGAGCUCGUAGGCGGUCUGUCGCGUCUGCUGUGAAAACCCGAGGCUCAACCUCGGGCCUGCAGUGGGUACGGGCAGACUAGAGUGCGGUAGGGGAGAAUGGAAUUCCUGGUGUAGCGGUGGAAUGCGCAGA